ensembl:snoRNA
CUUCUCUGAGGAUGACCUGCACUGGGCUCUGAGUCUGCAUGGAGACAGAUGUGCCUCUUUGGCCCUGACAAGCCAAAGUUUCUGAGGAGAAA